rnacentral:rRNA from 1 species
AUUGAACGCUGGCGGCAGGCCUAACACAUGCAAGUCGAGCGGAUGAAGGGAGCUUGCUCCUGGAUUCAGCGGCGGACGGGUGAGUAAUGCCUAGGAAUCUGCCUGGUAGUGGGGGAUAACGUCCGGAAACGGGCGCUAAUACCGCAUACGUCCUGAGGGAGAAAGUGGGGGAUCUUCGGACCUCACGCUAUCAGAUGAGCCUAGGUCGGAUUAGCUAGUUGGUGGGGUAAAGGCCUACCAAGGCGACGAUCCGUAACUGGUCUGAGAGGAUGAUCAGUCAAAUGGUAAAGAAGACGCGGUCCAGAGUCAUGCGGGAGGCAGCAGGGGGGAAUUUGGAACAAUGGGGGAAGGCUUACUCCACCGUGGCGGGGGGGGGAAAGAGGGUCUUGGAAUGUAAAAGAAUUUUAAGUGGGGGGAAAGGAAAUUAAUUAAACACCUUGUUUUUUGGAGGUACCAAAAAGAAAAGCACCCGACAAACUCGGUG